GACGAACCGAGCGAACGUUAUUCGGAAUCACUGGGCUUAAAGGGCGCGUAGGCGGGCGGUCAAGUCAGGGGUGAAAGCCCCCAGCUCAACUGGGGAAGUGCCUCUGAUACUGGUCGUCUCGAGGGAGGUAGGGGCGUGCGGAACUUCCGGUGGAGCGGUGAAAUGCGUAGAUAUCGGAAGGAACACCGGUGGCGAAAGCGGCGCGCUGGACCUCUUCUGACGCUGAGGCGCGAAAGCCAGGGGAGCGAACGGG
rnacentral:rRNA from 1 species